UUUUUAUAUAAUAUAAUAUAUAUAUAUAUAUACGUCUGAGUCGGUUGAAAACUCUGUUGUAGAGUUGUCACUGACUCAGACGUACUUAUAAAUU
rnacentral:sRNA from 1 species